AACUAUUGCUUGGCUGAAAACACCUGGCUGCCAGCCUAGACUGUGACUCUAAAGGGACUUACCAGUUUGGGCAUCUUCCAGAGCUGAAAACCGAUCACAAAUAUGAAACAGAUUUCACUACUGGACUUGAACUCCACAUAAAACAACAACAAGAUUCUCAAAAUAAAUGAACAAGGUCUUCACCAAAGAGUACAUGCAAUGUGAAGGGCGGGAAACCGAGGAAGUAAGAGGAAAUUGAGGCAGAGGGUGGCUGUGGAACCUGACAGGCCGCCGAAGCCAAACUCAUGACUGCUGUGCUCUGCCGACCCCGUUUUAUCAACGGAAGAGGCUUAUUUUGGUAUCAGGUCUGACACAAAGCAGAUGCUGAAGUGGACGCAGACCCUCUCUCCGCGCAUCGUGGGCACUAAGACGGCAGAGCAGCG